AACACAAUGUAACUCCAAGUCAAUCACACUUCUGUGAAAUCAAACUGUCCACUUAGGAAGCAACACUGAGUGACAAUCAAUUUCACAUGCUGUUGUGCAAAUGGGAUAGACAACAGGUGGAAAUUAUAGGCAAUUAGCAAGACACCCCCAGUAAAGGAGUGGUUCUGCAGGUGGUGACCACAGACCACUUCUCAGUUCCUAUGCUUCCUGGCUGAUGUUUUGGUCACUUUUGAAUGCUGGCGGUGCUUUCACUCUAGUGGUAGCAUGAGAUGGAGUCUACAACCCACACAAGUGGCUCAGGUAGUGCAGCUCAUCCAGGAUGGCACAUCAAUGCG
rnacentral:lncRNA from 1 species